UACGUAGGGUGCAAGCGUUGUCCGGAAUUAUUGGGCGUAAAGAGCUCGUAGGCGGUCUGUCGCGUCGGAUGUGAAAAUCCAGGGCUCAACCCUGGACCUGCAUUCGAUACGGGCAGACUAGAGUGCGGUAGGGGUGACUGGAAUUCCUGGUGUAGCGGUGGAAUGCGCAGAUAUCAGGAGGAACACCGAUGGCGAAGGCAGGUCACUGGGCCGCAACUGACGCUGAGGAGCGAAAGCAUGGGGAGCGAACAGG
rnacentral:rRNA from 1 species